CCUACGAGAGGCAGCAGUGAGGAAUAUUGGUCAAUGGACGCAAGUCUGAACCAGCCAUGCCGCGUGCAGGAAGACGGCUCUAUGAGUUGUAAAUUGCUUUUGUAAGAGGGUAAACGCAGAUAUGUGUAUCUGUCUGAAAGUAUCGUACGAAUAAGGAUCGGCUAACUCCGUGCCAGCAGCCGCGGUAAUCCGGAGGAUUCAAGCGUUAUCCGGAUUUAUUGGGUUUAAAGGGUGCGUAGGCGGUCGGAUAAGUUAGAGGUGAAAUCCCGGGGCUCAACUUCGGAAUUGCCUCUGAUACUGUUCGGCUAGAGAGUAGUUGCGGUAGGCGGAAUGUAUGGUGUAGCGGUGAAAUGCUUAGAGAUCAUACAGAACACCGAUUGCGAAGGCAACUUACCAAGCUACUUCUGACGUUGAGGCACGAAAGCGUGGGGAGCAAACAGGAUUAGAUACCCUAGUAGUC
rnacentral:rRNA from 1 species